rnacentral:lncRNA from 1 species
AGGUAUUUUGCGCUUUUUCAUUUCUGUAUAUAUAUAUAGUGUUUCUGUGAGAUAUUACAGAGGGUUAGAGGACAACAUAAACAUUACCUCACAUGAUGAGUUUCUUUAUCAAUCCGGCCUUCUGUCUUUUCUCUGUAGGUCCUGGUGUCGGUGUAAAGUCUGGAGGUAAGUCUGUCUGCCUGAACCUGACGGAUGCUGCUGAAUCCAAUGAACACUUUGCUUAUGAGAGUGCAAAGGUUAUCUUAUCCUUCUGUGAUUUCUGUACUGUCAGGUCCAGUGGCUGGUAUCCUCGGAGCCCGUGGAUAUGGGGCAGGCAAGCCAGGAAAAACAGCUGGCCGUUAUCUUGGAGGGAUGGCAUACAGACCCACUGCGAUCAGAGGAGGCCUGAAACAAGGAUAUGGAACACUCGGAGGUUAUGGAGGAGCUGCAAACCUUGGGACUGGCCUGGGGACUGGCCUGGGGACUGGCCUGGGGUCUGCUGGGCUGGGACUCGGCACAGGGUAUGGCCUAGGCAAUGGGCUGGGAGCAGCUUUAGGUUAUCCAGCAGGGAACCUCGGAGGAAGAGGUUACACCAGUAACGGCUAUGGAGCACAGCUAGGUUAUGGGGCAGGAGGAUACCCUGCCGCUGGACGCGGAUAUGGUGUACCAGCUGGCACACCCACAGGGCAAGGCUCAAAACCAUCAAAACUGGGUGUUGGGCCUAGAGCUGGCCAGCCCGUGUCACAGAGAGAGAGGGGCGAUGGUUACAGUCGCGGAGGGGUCCCUAAUGGACAGGGUGAUAUAGCCAAUGGUAAAACUCAUCCCAGAUGUAUGUGGGACUUCAUAUUUGAAAGAUUCAUUGUUGUAUAAUAUGAUUGACAUAGCUGUAGUUUAUAGUCGAGUGUUUAUCCGCUUGUUAAGCCGUGACAUGAGAAAAACUGUUUCUGUGUCCAAG